UAACUGGUCUCUUGUGUCCUUUUUGCUUCUUGCUGAGCCCAGCCUGGGCAUGGUGGUAGAUGUGACUGCAGCUGGCGUCGUUGGGUCUGGAAUACAAAACAUGGGAAUCAGGCCUGGCACCCCGGCCAGCCAGACCUGAUGCCCAGAAACUCUGGCUCCUUGGGACGGUGGAAGAUGCCCAGGCUGUGGAUUCAAGUGGACCUAGCCUCUGAUCCUCGCCCCUCACUUACCUGCUGUGUGACUCUAGGCUUUGAGACUAAGACAUUCGCUAUAGUGCAGCGUGUGGUGGCACGACACUGAAAACAACCCGCAUAGACACCGAGAGAAAAAUGGUGGAAUAGCCUGUGGCCUUCCCCAGCCUGGACUUCCACGCAGCCACUGAAAGAAUGACCUCCAGCAAUGUCUGCAUGGCCCGGAGGGACUCCCAAGCUACAGGGAAACUGCAAAGGCGAGCUAAGGGGCACAGUCUGCUGAGAAUGAGGCCCUGGUUUGUAAAGAACUCUGCUCAGAGCCUGCACCCAAUCAAUGUCAGGUAUCACGAUGACUGUGUCCCCCAUCCCCACACUGCCUGUUCCCACACCCUCUUCCACCCUGUCCCCUGCAGCAUCUUCUUGCAGUGCCUUGUGGGCUGGAUCAAUGGCUUUUUGUUUCUGACUCCUGUUUGCCUGCCAGGAGAACAGCAACCUCAGCCCCAAGAUCUUCACCCACGUGUGCCACUUCAAGCAGCACGUCCAGCACUGGGCCAUCCCCAGGGGGCUCUGCCCUGUGGCCGGACUGCAGGGAGUCAGAACCUGCUGCCUUAACCAUCCCUCCCUGUGGACCCACUUUACUGGGUCAGCUCAGGUCGUCCUCAAUGUGGCCCUA
rnacentral:lncRNA from 1 species